rnacentral:lncRNA from 1 species
CCAUUUAUGAAAAUUUUUACUUUUAUUUAUGCUAUUUAAUUUGUACGUGCAAAACUAUAUUACAAUAGUAAAAUUCAUUUAAAUAAUUCAUAAUUAUGAAAUUUUGAAAAUUGAAGUAAAAAAUUGUAAUCUUGCAAUAUAAAAAAAUAGUGCAUUUGAAUUGCAAUACAAUCACCAUGAUAGGGUUAUUUUAUUAAACUAAUUGUUAAUUCAAACAUACAUUAAUUUUAUAAUUUUAAGGAGAUUUA